rfam:Camelus ferus unplaced genomic scaffold scaffold1022, whole genome shotgun sequence.
GAGGGUAUAGCUCAAGAGGUAGAGCGCAUGCUUAGCAUGUAAGAAGCCCUGGGUUCAAUCCCCAGUACCUCCU